rnacentral:rRNA from 1 species
AGCAGCCGCGGUAAUUCCAGCUCCAAUAGCGUAUAUUAAAGUUGUUGCAGUUAAAAAGCUCGUAGUUGAAUUUCGGGGUCAGUAAGUUGGUCGUGCCACCGGUACGUACUGGUCUCACUGAUUCCUCCUUCCUGAAGAACCGUAAUGCCAUUAAUUUGGUGUUGCGGGGAAACAGGACUGUUACUUUGAAAAAUUAGAGUGUUUAAAGCAGGCUAACGCUUGAAUACAUUAGCAUGGAAUAAUGAAAUAGGACGAUCGAUCCUAUUUUGUUGGUUUCUAGGAUUGACGUAAUGAUUAAUAGGGAUAGUUGGGGGCAUUAGUAUUCAAUUGUCAGAGGUGAAAUUCUUGGAUUUAUUGAAGACUAACUACUGCGAAAGCAUUUGCCAAGGAUGUUUUCAUUAAUCAAGAACGAAAGUUAGGGGAUCGAAGACGAUCAGAUACCGUCGUAGUCUUAACCAUAAACUAUGCCGACUAGGGAUCGGAUGAUGUUAAUUUUAUAAUGACUCAUUCGGCNCCUUAC